AAAUGAUCUGUAAUUGUAAUCCAGUUAAGACACCUUACACUUCAAAAGAAUGACUUAAGUGAUAUUAAAAUCAUUAAAGGGUUUUCCCCAAAGGAAUUCUGUGGCCUUAUAAUCCUAUUAUGUAGUAGAAAAUUAAAGGGUGUGGGUUAUUUGUAAAGGCCUCUUACUUUAUGAAUUCAGUAGCAAGGAGAGACUAAGGUUACCCACAAACUCCACUUUGCAGUCCCCCUCUUCUUGCUUGCAGGAUGAGGAUUCCAGCCUUGCUGUCCACCAUUACCUUGGGUGGGCAGUUGUGUUACGCCUUUAUCUCUCUGCUGAGUGAAGUUCUACGGUUUGUACUUAAAUUUUGUGUGCUUUUAAAAUCAGCUGUAUUGUAAUCAAAUCUGUCUACUUUAAAAGACUGGAAAUGAAAAAAAUCUUUGCCAAAUUCUUUGGAGAAUACUGGAUUUGCAUAUGAAUUAAUCAGUAUCCAGCACUUCUGUUAAAUCAGGCGUCCUCCCAGUCUUCUCUUUUCUAUAGCAUGGCUUUAAAGCCUGCCUCCUU
rnacentral:lncRNA from 1 species